rnacentral:lncRNA from 1 species
CAGAUGCAGUCUCUGCUCAGAUCUUUUGCAUGUAACUAGGCUGUUUAGAUUCUGUUUCUCACAUGCAUAGCUCAAGUGGUCAGAAGGAACUGUGUCUAGACAACAUUUAGGUAUCCUCUCUCUGACUCUUUCCCUGUGAGAAAUUAUGAGAAGCCCUCAUAAUUUCUUGCUUCUCUUCUCUUUUCUUUUUUUUUAUUUUAUAUUUUUUUUAGUCAUAGAUGGACAGCAUGCUUUUAUUUUAUUGUGUAUUUUUUUAUGUGGUGCUGAGGAUCGAACCUAGUGCCUCCCACAUGCAAGGCAAGUGCUCUGUCACUGAGCUACAGCCCCAGCCCUCCUACUUCUCUUUUCUACUUCAGUCUUCACCUCUAAUUCAAAGCAAAUCUAUAUCUAAGACAGCAUUUUCUGCCUUCACUUGUACCACUUUUCUACUUGAACUCCAGCCAGUAUCGCUAAGAUGACUGAAAGCGCCACCCAUCACCACAUUCUCUUCUCUAUCACCAUUUGAUUUGUCCACAACAAACUGUUUUCCACUGAAGAAACAAAAUACAUUGAAAAAUGAACAUAGAUUCCCUUAUUUGCU